rnacentral:tRNA from 1 species
GCAUGUGGCUUAGUGGUUAGAGUAUUCAGCUCACAAUCGUAAGGUCAUGGGUUCAAUUCCCAGCGAUGCG